GGAAGUAGAAAUGAGACAGAGGCCUCUGUCUCCUAAUCUUUUCCAUAGGCUACUGUUUUCUUUCUUUUCUCAUGAGGAAAAAUGAUAAAAGCAAAAUAAACAAAUUAGCUACCACUUAUGAAAAUCCCCAGGAAAUUCCUUUUCCAGAGUUCUCACUUACUAAUUUGGCUAACAUUACCAAUGGUAACAGACCCCACGUAUCCGCCACAAUUGCUGUGAGUUGCAGAGGAAAAAGACUGGGAGGAAAUCUUCACUUUUCUUCUGCAACAGCAACCAACAGAAAUGAAAGAGCCAGGGGAUUUUGCAAAAUAUCAACUCCUGAGAACUAAGAAUGAGAGCCUUUCCUGCCAAGCCCAUUCUGUGCCAGUCAUCAUAAAAUACUAUGACCCUUCCUUCCAGAAGAACAAUGCGCUGUGAUCUUUGGCUACUCAAGCUUUACAUCAUCCAUAUUACCCUGCAGCAGGAACAGAUUGAUGGGGAUUCUAUAGCACAUCCUUGAAUUGUGUUUAUCCAAUCCACAUUUCUCUUCUGCUGGACAUUCAGAGGACUGUUUCUCACUAAUAUCAGGCCUUUUUCAGUUAUGAGUGAAUCCCAAAUCAAACUGACUUAAGAAACACAAAAGAGAAAUCUGUCUUGGUGUUGGAGCCUCUUGGAAUUCGUGACAAGGAAAAAAGUACACCAAGUAAACUAGUAAAACAAAAGUGAGAAGGCCCUUGACAGAUGUGAGCCCCUUGACCUUGGACUUCCCAGCCUCAAGAACCACAAGCCAAAUAAAUUUCUGUUCAUUAUA
rnacentral:lncRNA from 1 species